CCCCAUGCCUAGCUCUACUCAAAGUGGCUGAUCAGGUCUUCACUGCGGAUCUGGAAAGAAGCUGAUAGAAGAUGGGUGCCAGAGGGGCCUGGGUAGAGAUGUUAGCUGAGAGAUACCCAGUAUGGAUUCUGUCAGUUUUCUGGAGCUACGAAGUGAAGAGUGUC
rnacentral:sRNA from 1 species